UACGGGGGGGGCAAGCGUUGUUCGGAAUCACUGGGCGUAAAGGGUGCGUAGGCGGGUCUUUAAGUCAGGGGUGAAAUCCUGGAGCUCAACUCCAGAACUGCCUUUGAUACUGGUGAUCUUGAGUCCGGGAGAGGUGAGUGGAACUGCGAGUGUAGAGGUGAAAUUCGUAGAUAUUCGCAAGAACACCAGUGGCGAAGGCGGCUCACUGGCCCGGUACUGACGCUGAGGUGCGAAAGCGUGGGGAGCAAACAGG
rnacentral:rRNA from 1 species